rnacentral:lncRNA from 1 species
ACAAAUUUUUACACAAUACUUGAAACAAACGCCGAAAGUGAUGAUUUUAAAACUUGGUCAUUGGUUAGAUGAUUCCAUUGAACGACUGUUCGUGGAAAGAAGGAAUACCUAAAACAAUUAUUACGCGUACUAAAUGGGGUUAUUGUUCGGCUAUGUCGUUGCCUAGUAGCAUAAUCAGAUGAAAAAUUUAUUAUUCCCCAUGCCUCGCACCCAUU